rnacentral:piRNA from 1 species
ACCACAGCGAGCCUGUAGAAGAUGAG